rnacentral:rRNA from 1 species
AGUGAACGCUGGCGGUAGGCCUAACACAUGCAAGUCGAACGGAAGCACAGUAAGCGCUUGCUCUUACGGGUGGCGAGUGGCGGACGGGUGAGGAAUACAUCAGAAUCUACUAUUUCGUGGGGGAUAACGUAGGGAAACUUACGCUAAUACAGCAUAUGACCUACGGGUGAAAUCAGGGGAUCUUCGCAGCUUGGCUGUCUGAAUGAGACGAUGUCGGAUUAGCUAGUCGGCUGGGUAAGGGCCCACCAAGGCAACGAUGCGUAGCUGGUCUGAGAGGAUGAUCAGCCACACUGGAACUGAGACACGGUCCAGACUCCUACGGGAGGCAGCAGUGGGGAAUAUUGGACAAUGGGCGCAAGCCUGAUGCAGCCAUACCGCGUGGGUGAAGAAGGCCUUCGGGUUGUAAAGCCCUUUUGUUAGGAAAGAAAAGCAGCAGGUUAAUACCCCGCUGUUCUGACGGUACCCAAAGAAUAAGCACCGGCUAACUUCGUG